rnacentral:lncRNA from 1 species
CAAAGUGUCAUUUCUUUUUUCCUCUCCCACGUAGAAUGAGCAGGUUUCCAGUAAGCCAUCAGAUAGCAAGAAAAAGUCAUCACAAACCAGAUACUUAAUGCCUACUCAUAGGGAAAGAGGCUAACUUUACUAAGCACCCACACUGGGCCAGGCAGCCAAGACUCCAGAGAUGAAGUCUUUGCCAAAGGUUAUGCAGCUCGUCACCCAUGUCCAGACCUCUUUGACUUCAAAGGCUGUGCUCCCUCUGCCACACCAGACUGCCUCCAGAAGAACCAAGAGGGGACACGCACCUGGGGAAGUUUCGAGGUCCCUGUGAACUCAUAACUGAGAGUAUUCGUGACAUAAGCCUGGCGUAAUUGGAGGAUGUCUGGGAAAACAAAAAUACAUUAACGAGAAGUAGCAGGU